UACGUAGGGCGCAAGCGUUGUCCGGAAUUAUUGGGCGUAAAGAGCUCGUAGGCGGCUUGUCACGUCGGGUGUGAAAGCCCGGGGCUUAACCCCGGGUCUGCAUUCGAUACGGGCUGGCUAGAGUGUGGUAGGGGAGAUCGGAAUUCCUGGUGUAGCGGUGAAAUGCGCAGAUAUCAGGAGGAACACCGGUGGCGAAGGCGGCAUCCUGGACCGGUAUUGACGCUGAGGCGCGAAAGCUAGGGGAGCAAACGGG
rnacentral:rRNA from 1 species